UACGUAGGGUGCGAGCGUUAAUCGGAAUUACUGGGCGUAAAGCGUGCGCAGGCGGUUCGUUGUGUCGGCGGUGAAAGCCCCGGGCUCAACCUGGGAAUGGCCGUUGAAACUGGCGAACUGGAGUGUGGCAGAGGGGGGUGGAAUUCCGCGUGUAGCAGUGAAAUGCGUAGAGAUGUGGAGGAAUACCGAUGGCGAAGGCAGCCUCCUGGGCCAACACUGACGCUCAUGCACGAAAGCGUGGGGAGCAAACAGG
rnacentral:rRNA from 1 species